rnacentral:rRNA from 1 species
GGGGAAUAUUGCGCAAUGGGGGGAACCCUGACGCAGCAACGCCGCGUGAGUGAAGAAGGUUUUCGGAUCGUAAAACUCUGUCAUCGGGGAAGAAGGAAGUGACGGUACCCGAGGAGGAAGCCCCGGCUAACUACGUGCCAGCAGCCGCGGUAAUACGUAGGGGGCGAGCGUUGUCCGGAAUUACUGGGCGUAAAGGGUGCGUAGGCGGCCAAUUAAGUCAGAUGUGAAAUACCUCGGCUCAACUGAGGGGUUGCAUAUGAAACUGGUAGGCUUGAGUGCAGGAGAGGAAAGUGGAAUUCCUAGUGUAGCGGUGAAAUGCGUAGAGAUUAGGAGGAACACCAGUGGCGAAGGCGGCUUUCUGGACUGUAACUGACGCUGAGGCACGAAAGCGUGGGUAGCGAAC